rnacentral:rRNA from 1 species
AGAUUGAACGCUGGCGGUAGGCCUAACACAUGCAAGUCGAGCGCGAAAGUGCCUUCGGGUGCGAGUAGAGCGGCGGACGGGUGCGUAACGCGUAGGAAUCUGCCUGGUAGUGGGGGAUAACUCGGGGAAACUCGAGCUAAUACCGCAUACGCCCCAGUGGGGGAAAGCGGGGGACCUUCGGGCCUCGCGCUAUCAGAUGAGCCUGCGUCGGAUUAGCUAGUUGGUAGGUAAUGGCCUACCAAGGCGACGAUCCGUAGCUGGUCUGAGAGGAUGAUCAGCCACACUGGGACUGAGACACGGCCCAGACUCCUACGGGAGCAGCAGUGGGGAAUAGUUGGACAAGUGGGGGCAACCCUGAUCCAGCCAUACCGCGUGUGUGAAGAAGGCCUUGGUUGUAAGACACUUCUAGUAGGAGGAAAGUAGACGGCGAUACCGGCGACCGUACGACGCUAC